rnacentral:rRNA from 1 species
UACGAAGGGGGCUAGCGUUGUUCGGAUUUACUGGGCGUAAAGCGCAUGUAGGCGGAGCUUUAAGUUGGGGGUGAAAUCCCGGAGCUCAACCCCGGAAUUGCCUCCAAAACUGCAGAGCUGGAGGAGGCGAGAGGUGAGUGGAAUUCCGAGUGUAGAGGUGAAAUUCGUAGAUAUUCGGAAGAACACCAGUGGCGAAGGCGGCUCACUGGCGCAUUGCUGACGCUGAGGUGCGAAAGCGUGGGGAGCAAACAGG